rnacentral:misc_RNA from 1 species
AAGCUUUUAGCUAUGGGAUGGGGUUGUUCCUUCCAGAGUGCAAUCCCAUGCAUUCUACACUGGAAACCUUGAAGCUACACGAUACAUGAAGGGCUGUGGAUGUACAAUUAGAACGUCCUUUGUUUCUUUGAGCAUGAUCAAAAUAGCAGUACUAUGGGUAAUUUCUACUAUCAUUAGAUAUGGGACCAAGUUCUUUCAGGAAGAAUGUGUGUAACCAUCUAGGAUUUUCUAAGCUUCACUUGGGAAGGAUGAUGAUGAAACUUGGAACAAAACUCGUCUUGAACUUCCGUUUUUUUGUUUCUUUAAAAGGCC